CUUUAACCAAGGUUGACCUCGGAUCAGGUAGGAAUACCCGCUGAACUUAAGCAUAUCAAA
rnacentral:rRNA from 1 species